UACGUAGGGUGCGAGCGUUAAUCGGAAUUAUUGGGCGUAAAGCGUGCGCAGGCGGUUUUUUAAGCCAGAUGUGAAAUCCCCAAGCUUAACUUGGGAACUGCGUCCGAUACUGGAGGGCUUGAGUGCGGGAGAGGGAUGUGGAAUUCCAGGUGUAGCGGUGAAAUGCGUAGAUAUCUGGAGGAACACCGGUGGCGAAGGCGGCAUCCUGGACCGACACUGACGCUGAUGCGCGAAAGCCAGGGGAGCAAACGGG
rnacentral:rRNA from 1 species